GAAGAUGUUCUGCUCACGGCAGGGGCUUGGACUAGAUGAGCUUGGUAGGUCCCUUCUGUGAUUCUGUCAAGACAGGAGGAGCUGUUCGCCUCUGACAUCUGUUCCUGUGUAAUCAAAAGCAGAACUGGGGCUCAGCAUCCCGGCAGCUGCUCCACAACAUCCUCAUGGCCCAAAACAGCUUCUCUAGCAAACCUCAAAUCCUUAGUACAAAGGAGUCAUUGAAGAGCAAACCAUUUUAAUCUGUGGGAUAGAAAGAGGUUCUGUAGCUGGGCUGACAAUUCUUGCUCUUUAGUAUUGAUUGGAUGGUCAUUUGUUAUAAUGAUGGCUUAAGGAGUCAAGCAAAUGCUAUGAAUACUGCAAUUUUGAUUUAUGAAUGUGGAAACCUCUUUGUCUGCAUGCUGCUGAAGAAUGCAAAGCUUUGCAUCCUUUCUUCCCCAAACAGAGAGUUGUCCAGGUCGAUUUUUUUGAGGAUAUUUUUCCAUUUGCUUUUUGUGGUGUAAAAAUUGACUAUUUCACAGACCGAUGGCAGAUUUGUGAGGGCUGAUGAUACAGUGCCAAAUGUCUACCCCAGAUCUCCACCUUCAGUGCUAGGGAAGGUAAUGACUGUGUAGUCUGUAGCCCAGGAUAACUCAGCAGGCUUGCUAACUUACCAUGUCAACGGGGAAUGUUUAUCCUGCACACGCGGGAUCAGUUUUACCUCAAGCAGUCUGGCACAGGAGAGCUGAUAAAUUCACAGCAUGUAUUCAAACACUGCUCUCAGCAAAACAAUUCCACUUUUAUUCUGGGAAUGCUCGGAUGUGGCUGAAGAAAUCUCCACAGAGCGGCAGUGGAGACAGGGCCGCGAAGUACCCGUUAAAGAGAAAUCAUAGCUGAAUCACACAUGAUCCUUCAGCCACACCAAUAUUAAUAUCGAGGCCUUGCUCAUGGCAUGGGGAAAGCAGUGUUCAGUACACAGGCAAAAUUAAUGUGGCUGUAACAUGGACGAAGUCUGGGCAAUAAUAUCAAUAACGACUAUCUCUGAUAAAAGCAGGCAGUACAAACACAAGUAAGCAAAAGAGCACAAUGUCACUCGGACCAGCUUCAAAAAUAGUCUAAGAAAGAUGCAAAGACCUACGUAAUGUAAGGAAGGUUAAAGCAUCAUUUUACUUUGCCAAAUCAAGAAAAUUACACCCCAAAAUUGAAUGUACAUCUUUAAUUGAUGCAAUUGAGGGAGAUAGUGAAGAUAAUACAAGUACAUAACGGCUGUGGUGGGAGCAUCAGAGCUUAAUUGCAGUGUACUCAGUGUACUUUUUUUUUGCCACGAUGUGUCAUUACACCACCUCUCUUAUUCUGGAACAAAUAUGCUCAUUUGACUGGAAGCAGGUAGAUUCCCGUUCCUGUGUUUCAUGCCAAAGCCUGCAUGCCAUCUCACAUCACUGUGUCAAGGAGCUGCAGUUGUGGACAGCUGUGGCCCCCCAAAUUAUUAAUUUGCUCAGUUUGUUAACUGGUCCAGGGAGAUCUAUGAGGGGAGGUCCAGCAAGGAGGCAUAAUAUUUCUUCCUCAAAUGCAAGUCCCUUGUGUAUAACAGAACUACCUUAGCUGAGUUGAGAUGCCUGAUGCCAGACCUCCUCAGUGAAGGAGGAAGCCGAUUUUUUGCCCUUUCAUCAUUAAAACACUUCAUCUAUCAUUUUUAUCAUGUGUAAAAUGAAGACAACACCUGUCUUCUUCCCAACAGCGUCAUUACACCCAGCUCACUAGUUUCCUCUAAGAGAUUCCCCAGAUUAAACUAGAAAUGUAGAAAUUCAUUACUACAGGGUGUUUCAAAAAGAUGGACCCAAUUUGAAGUCACUUUAUCUCUGCAACCGUGAACUGCUCAUGAAUAAGGGAGCAUAGAGCAUUUAUAAAAAGAUUGCUUGGUAACUCAUUAAACCAUUAAUAAAUUUUUGUGUGCUUGUAACAUGUUACCAUUGUGAAAUAUGCUGGUUUGAAAUUGGAUCCAUCUUUGAAAUUGAGUCCAUCUUUUUGAAACACCCUGUAUUAUUUCACCACUAUUAAGAAAUUACAGACAGUGAUAAGACAUAUUAAAGAAGUAAGGGAGAGGUAAUAUACUUUUCUCUGGCUUCUUUUUUACCUGUGCUGUAUGUUUUAUAACUGCUUCUGUUUCUGCUAGACACACAGUGGUAUGCCUGCCACUGCUGUACUCAGAUGCCUUACACCACUAGUGAAGAGAUAUGGUUGAAAAUACCUUGAUUCUUGCCAUAUUUUCCAAUGGAAAUUUUUCCCCUCUUUCAUAGCAGCUUUCCAAAGAUUGCUUUUGAUCCUGUUAGGGGAAAUAAGAAAGAAAAAGGGAAAAGAAGAAAGCUGACAUUCCUCCGUUUUAUGUUUUUUUAAGAUAAUUUUUAGGUUUUGGAUAAAAAAGUUAAAAUACUCCUGAAAAACUUCUCUUAAGCAGGCUUUUUAAGCAAAAAAAAAGCAGCAGACAAAAAAGUUUAACCUGCUUUGCUGACCACAUAUGUGGUACUACUAAAAUCAGCAGCACGUGUUUGUAAUGCUGCUUGCUGUUUUUCAUUCAAUCUAUACCUGUAUUGCAAAUUGUCUCUGUGGAUCAAUGGUGAAUCUUUCUAAACUUUUUGCAUUUAAAAUUACAAGAGAAAGGUAAGGGACUGGGAAGCUUCAAGAUGCCUACUUCAGCCAUUCCCAGAAAGAAAUGCCAGUAAAAUAAGGAUUUCCAGCAGCAUACAGGUGUGAAUAAACAGAAGCAACCCAUUUCCAUGGAAACAGCUCAUCUAAAACCCAGACAAAGGAAGCAUGGUGAUGUUGCUACAGGACUAAGAUGGGGUUCUUGUGAACAGAAAUGAAGGCUGUUUGUGAAGGAGACAAAAUACAAAUUCCCUUCUGACAGAUGGGGAGGAGGACAGAGGGACUAAGAACCUGCCCACCAGAAUCUCAUUAGGAAUAUUUACACUAAUGGCAAGUAAGUCCGCAUACCUACACAGCAAAUUUGGGCACUGGUCAAUGGUGGGUGCCAGAAGCAGGAUGACCAUGCGGGUACAGCACCCAAACUGGGUACCAUCGGGCAGUGGUACCAGAUUAACACUGACCUCUUCAUGAUGCUACCUGGGGCAAUGCAGACAUCUCCUAAAUAAUUUCACAGAGUCACAGAAUGGGUUGGGUUGGAAGGGACCUUCAAAGCUCAUCUAGUCCGAGCCCCUGCCAUGAGCAGGAACAUCUUUGCCCAGAUCAGGUUGCUCAGAGACCCGUCCAGCCUGGCCUGGGAUGCCUCCAGGGAUGGGGCAUCCACCACCUCUCUGGGCAACCUGGGUCAGUGCUUUGCCCAAUGGGAAUGAAGCCCAGAGCACUGAAGCUUCAAUGUAUUCAAAACAAGAGUAGUCUUCUCAUUAUGACCUACUGUCAUGGUAUUGUUAAAAAACAAGUUUUUCUUUUAGUGAAUUUGCCUGUCAGCUAGCUGCAUUUUCCUGGAGAACCAGAUACAUGUUUUGGUAAACCUAGCAAUGGAAUGUGAAGUUAUUGAUAAGCACAGAUUCACAUCUUGCGAGAGAGGCAACAGGAAACAGGUGACCAAGAAACUGACCAAUGGAGUAUAACCUUCCAUUCAUGUGAAUACUUCAUAUAAAAGUGGGAGAUCAUGAGGAUCUUGUCCCUUUUCCUUUUUUUUCCUUAUGGCCGAUAUUGGGAGAGGACCUUGCUAGUCGUCCCUGUGAACUGAGGCCUAGUGAGAGACUGAAUCCAGCUCCAGUUGGCUGCAGAGUCCAAUCCAGGACUUCGGGUGCCGGCUCUGCAGUUGCUGAGACUUUCAAGAUUGGUUUUGUAUAUUUUGUAUUAUUUUCUCUAGUCUUAUUAGUAGCAUUGGUAUAACAUUUUUAAUUUUUUCAACUCUCUUCUCUUUGUCUUUCUUUUCCUGUCCUUAGUGGGAAGUGGGGAGAGGGAGAGGCUAAAAAAGGGGAAGGGGGUGGGAGGAGAGGAGGUUAGCAAUACAUCUGCCAUGGUUUUAUUGUCACCCUGCAAUCAAAACCCUCGACACCUACUUACUUUUGACCAGCAUCCUGCCCAUCUUUAUCCUUCUCUCCUUUUUUAAGUCUGCCAUCUCCAUCCUUGCAGCCAUAAUAUUUGAACUUGUGAGCUGUUUUCGACCAUGCAAUAGCAGAAGAGCAAAAGAUAAAUGUAAAUCUUUUUUUUAAGGCAAACAGAAGAGCCACCACCCCCUAAGUACCCUCUGCUGAGGACCACAGGAUGAACUCAGCCCUAUGAUCAGGCACCGCAGGAACCAGGGCUUUGCGUUUCACUUGAAUACAGAAUUAUUUGUUGCUCUGGCAAAAUUUGGAGGGCUCCUAUUGGAGAGAUGGCUGCCUUGUGAGAAUUCUCCAUCCUACCUUCCCCAGCCUCCUAGGUAGGCAAUAAAGGUGAUGAACAACUAUCCACCAGACAAUGCUGAUAAUGUUAGAAGAUGCAGGUAGCAACACAAAGAAAUUCUAACCUGAAAGCAACCUGAAAUAAAAGUCCAACAAGGAAAACAGAGGAUAGACACUGAUUUCUCCUGACAAACAGCUAGCCCUCAAAGUGGAUUAAGUGUGGUCACACAAAUAAUUAAGAGGAAAGAUACUUGAAACAGAAGGAAGAAGAAAGUAAGGAGAUGGAGCUUUAGUCCAUUUUAGAACUGAAAUGAGGGAUGACCUAAAUGAAAAGAAAAAAAAGAAGGUAAAUCAAGCUGAAGCCCAAGUCUAAGGGAGAAAUGCUGACUCUGAUCUAUAAUUAAUGGCCUAAUACUUUUUAAAGCUAAGAGAGACCAAAUAAUCAUCUAAUGUGAUGUCCUGCAUUAGAGCUCUGAUGAGUACAGGAUUUUAAGAUUUUUGACAUUCGGCUUUUUUCCAGCUAAGACUUAAGCUGACUAUUUGAUAAUUCUGCAUGAGAAAAAAUGCUAGAAAAGUUUGUCUAAACUCAGGAAUAUGGAUAAAAAAGAAAUAAAGUAAUAAAAUAGUGCAAAUUUGGUUUGAUUUGCCAAUUUUAUUUGAAAAAAAAAUAGGUAUCAUAGAAGGUAGCAUGAAAUGCAUUUCAGAAUUAAAACCUGACAUUUGGCUUUGAAACCAUUAAAAUGAUAAAAUUCUGGAUUAUGGGAGGUUGUUUCCCUCUUGGAGAUAACGUGUGAAAUUAGCUUAUUUACAGAGUACUUUGAUUCUUAUAAGAAUUAAUUUUCCCAGGAAGAAAGGUGCUACCCUGAUUCUUCUAGGCCCACCUUUAUCCCACGUAGGUCAGGCUAGACAAUCCUGCCCAAAGCUCACAUCUUCUGCCUAUGCAAAAGUGGACUUUUUCAAAAGAUAUCUGGUCAGGGCAGAAAAGCAUAAAGGAUAAAGAAUUCACCAUCUGCUCAGCGUGACACUGAAAGAUCAUGAACCAAGCUCUUAGAAAACACUCCAGUGGACAAAAUGGAUUAUAAAAAAAAAAACAACACAACAAAAAAAAAAAAACAAACAAAAAACUAUCAAACAAAAAAAAAACCAAACCAAAACAAAAAAACUGUCAAGGGACAAAAUUGCAAAAUUGCACCCAGCUUUCUGCAGACUUUUUAAGAAGAAAAAAGACCUUGUAGAGGAGGUCUCCUGCAGAACUCACAACUUGUGUAAGCACAGCGAGUGGCAAGUUCUUCAAGUGCCUGAGAAGAUGAUAGAUCUCAGUGAGGACUUCAUGAUGUUGCUGGUGGCACGGCUAAGCACUUUGCCCAUCAACAAAUGAGGAGCAGCCACACUGGUACCUACUCCACUCCACAGGAUAGUACAUGCAAUGUGGAAUUGAUUACGAUGUUUUCUAAAAUGAGGAUCAGUCCUGAUGGAUAUGACUUGUUCCAAGCCUCUCUAGCUCAAUGUGGAGCUGCAGGUGAAGGUCGUAGUGCAUUCUUGGGAAAGGGUGGCUGGAAACCAGAAGUCAGAUGUGACCCAUGGCCCCACACGUCUGUGCAACCUUCUUCCCGUGUCUCCUCCUCCCCUUGGUCCAGACUCGCUUGUCAGAGAGAACGGAACAGCUCAUCCAGCUGUUAAUGCCCCGUGAUGAAGGUUUUCCGUUGCAAAACACCACACUGAAUUUGACUGCUUAAGGGCCAGUCACCUCUGCAAGCAAAAAUACCUGAAUGCUAGAGUGAUGGAUAUGGAAAAAGAGUAGAUUAUAGAGAGUUUUAUGAAAUUAUAGAGCAGCACAACAAAUCAAUGCACUUCAGGGCUGUGAGCGCAGGUAAGUUAUAUCCUUCAGCUGCAGAGAAUAACUCCUCUGUAUGUAAUUACACCAGGGAUAUGGCAUUAAAUUGCAAUACCUCAUUACCCCUCCUUGCAAAACACAAAAGAAUUAGAGGGAAUUCAAACCUGAAAAAGGAAAAUGAUCAGACACUUGGAAAGACUGAUAUACAAGGAGAGAUUAAGUCGCUUAAAUAUAUACUUUAUCUAAUCAAUAAUUAAGUAAGAGAAGGAUAAUGGUUUAAAAAUAUGUAAAGAUAAUUAUUUUGGAUGAUGCAUGGUCCCAAUUCAGCACAGUGCUUAAAACACAUACACAUAUCCAUCAGCCCUGCAACACACCAACAUGUGUGACUUCAAUGGAGCUUAAGUGCAUGCUUAAAUUCAAGCAUGCGCUGAAGCACUUUGAUUAAUUGGGGCCAUAACCACAAGUAAUGGUAAGAAAUUAAGAAACAGAAAAAUGUAGGCUGAACAGCCAGGAAAAUCUUCCAAAUGGUAAGAUAGAUGAGACUGGGGAGUAAUCGCUCAAGGGAACUGGUGGAAACCUCAUCCCUGGACACCUUCCUAGUUUCACCAGACAAAGUCCUGGGAAAAUAUCCCCCUGGAAUAAUCUGGCUGUUUGCUCUGGAGGCCACAGCUGCGUGACCUAACAUGACUUUUCUGUUUCUAAGUUUUUCUGGGCUGGCUCACAGCAUUAAGCCCAAGACACAAUUUUAAUGAGCAAUAAUAGCGCGACAGGCUGCUGUCCUUCUGAAUCUCUUCCUUGCCUCCCCCCACCCAAUUCACUGGGUUAUUUUCCUCUUCAUUACAUGUGAUGCUACGAAAGAAAAGGAAAAAAAAAAACACCAAAAAUCACACUUUAAGCUCAGUGGUAUUUUGUCUUUUUCCCACUCGCUGACUAAACACUGAUUUCAUUCUCACCUCUGCAUUAAAACAAAGCUUAAAGAUGUAUA